rnacentral:rRNA from 1 species
UACGGGGGGGGCGAGCGUUGUUCGGAAUUACUGGGCGUAAAGAGCGUGUAGGCGGCCAUGUAGGUCCGUUGUGAAAACUCGAGGCUCAACCUCGAGACGCCGAUGGAAACCAUGUGGCUAGAGUCCGGAAGAGGAGAGUGGAAUUCCUGGUGUAGCGGUGAAAUGCGCAGAUAUCAGGAGGAACACCGGUGGCGAAGGCGGAUCUCUGGGCCUUACCUGACGCUGAGGCGCGAAAGCUAGGGGAGCGAACAGG